rnacentral:rRNA from 1 species
GUCUACGGCCAUGCCAUUCUGAACAAGUCCGAUCCCAUCUGAUCUUGGAAACUAAGCAAGGUCGAAUUUGGUUAGUACUUGGAUAGGAGACCACCCAGGAAGACCAGGUGCUGUAGGUG